AGGGGGACGGGAUGGGGGAACGAUGGGGGCAGGGGGCGAUUUGGGGGGGGUCCGUACCUCGUCCUGCAGCACAGAGCAGCAGCAGUGCUGGCAGCAGCAGUGGGGGGGGGCGCCGGGGGGGCUGCAUUGUGGCUGUGGAGGAGCCGCUCCGGCGGCGGAGGCUGCGGUGAAUGGGUGGGAAUUGGGGGCGGGGCUAAACGGGGCUGUGGGGGCGGGGCUUGGAGGAGGGGGAGGGGCUUGUGGUGGGGCGCUGUGGGGCUCCAUGGGUCUCUAUGGGGUCCAUAUGGGGUUCUAUGGGUCUCUAUGGGGUCCCUAUGGGUCUCUAUGGGUCUCUAUGGGUCUCUACACGGUCUCUAUGGGUUCUUAUGGGUCUCUAUGGGGCUUUGGGGGCUGUGUGUCUGGCAAUGGGUCCCUAUGGGUCCCUAUGGAUCUCUAUGGGUGUUUCUAUGGGGAUUUAUGGCUGUGACUCGCCCCAAUUAAGCGCAGUGGGAGGGGGCGGGGCUUAACGAAGGGGGCGGGGCCUAACGGAGGGGUGGGGCUUAACAGGGGGCGGGGCUUGGAUGAAAGGCUGGGGGCUCAAAGAGUGGGGCUGCGAGUGGGACCCCCAGCAUCCCCACCCAUUUGGGAUUGGAGACCCCUCCCCAUUUAACCUAGGGGACCCCCAACUCCCCCCCAUUUGACAUAGGGAACACCCAAACCCCCCCUCCCCCAUUUGGGACUGGGGACCCUAACCCAACCCCCCCACCCCUAUUUGAAACUGGGGACCCCCCCCCAUUUAACCUAGGGGACCCCCAAC
rnacentral:lncRNA from 1 species